rnacentral:rRNA from 1 species
GACGAACGCUGGCGGCGUGCCUAAUACAUGCAAGUAGAACGCUGAAGGAGAAGCUUGCUUCUCUGGAUGAGUUGCGAACGGGUGAGUAACGCGUAGGUAACCUGCCUGGUAGCGGGGGAUAACUAUUGGAAACGAUAGCUAAUACCGCAUAAGAGUAGAUGUCGCAUGACAUUUGCUUAAAGGGUGCAAUUGCAUCACUACCAGAUGGACCUGCGUUGUAUUAGCUAGUUGGUGAGGUAACGGCUCACCAAGGCAACGAUACAUAGCCGACCUGAGAGGGUGAUCGGCCACACUGGGACUGAGACACGGCCCAGACUCCUACGGGAGGCAGCAGUAGGGAAUCUUCGGCAAUGGACGGAAGUCUGACCGAGCAACGCCGCGUGAGUGAAGAAGGUUUUCGGAUCGUAAAGCUCUGUUGUAAGAGAAGAACGAGUGUGAGAGUGGAAAGUUCACACUGUGACGGUAUCUUACCAGAAAGGGACGGCUAACUACGUG